AAGAUGAAUAAAGAAAAAUUCAUUUUAAUAAAUCUUUCCGACGACAAGCCACCGACCUAAGGGAGGGGCAAUACAUAUU
rnacentral:sRNA from 1 species